rnacentral:rRNA from 1 species
GCAUAUCAAUAAGCGGAGGAAAAAGAAACCAACAGGGAUUGCCCCAGUAACGGCGAAGUGAAGCGGCAACAGCUCAAAUUUGAAAUCUGGCCCCAGGCCCGAGUUGUAAUUUGCAGAGGAUGCUUUUGGCGCGGUGCCUUCCGAGUUCCCUGGAACGGGACGCCAUAGAGGGUGAGAGCCCCGUACGGUUGGACACCAAGCCUUUGUAAAGCUCCUUCGACGAGUCGAGUAGUUUGGGAAUGCUGCUCAAAAUGGGAGGUAUAUUUCUUCUAAAGCUAAAUAUUGGCCAGAGACCGAUAGCGCACAAGUAGAGUGAUCGAAAGAUGAAAAGCACUUUGAAAAGAGGGUUAAACAGCACGUGAAAUUGUUAAAAGGGAAGCGCUUGUGACCAGACUUGCGCCCGGUGAAUCACCCAGCUCUCGCGGCUGGGGCACUUUGCCGGCACAGGCCAGCAUCAGCUUGCCGUCGGGGACAAAAGCUUCGGGAACGUAGCUCUCUUCGGGGAGUGUUAUAGCCCGUUGCAUAAUACCCUUCGGCGGGCUGAGGUACGCGCUCCGCAAGGAUGCUGGCGUAAUGGUCAUCAGCGACCCGUCUUGAAACACGGACCAAGGAGUCAACCUUAUGUGCGAGUGUUUGGGUGUUAAACCCCUACGCGUAAUGAAAGUGAACGCAGGUGAGAGCUUCGGCGCAUCAUCGACCGAUCCUGAUGUUCUCGGAUGGAUUUGAGUAAGAGCAUAUAGGGUUGGACCCGAAAGAAGGUGAACUAUGCGUGUAUAGGGUGAAGCCAGAGGAAAUUCUGGUGGAGGCUCGCAGCGGUUUCUGACGUGCAAAUCGAUCGUCAAAUAUGCGCAUGGGGGGCGAAAGACUAAUCGAACCUUCUAGUAGCUGGUUUCCGCCGA